UACCAUGCAGUCGACGGCAGCACAGGAGAGCUUGCUCUCUGGGUGGCGAGUGGCGGACGGGUGAGGAAUACAUCGGAAUCUACUCUGUCGUGGGGGAUAACGUAGGGAAACUUACGCUAAUACCGCAUACGACCUACGGGUGAAAGCAGGGGAUCUUCGGACCUUGCGCGAUUGAAUGAGCCGAUGUCGGAUUAGCUAGUUGGCGGGGUAAAGGCCCACCAAGGCGACGAUCCGUAGCUGGUCUGAGAGGAUGAUCAGCCACACUGGAACUGAGACACGGUCCAGACUCCUACGGGAGGCAGCAGUGGGGAAUAUUGGACAAUGGGCGCAAGCCUGAUCCAGCCAUACCGCGUGGGUGAAGAAGGCCUUCGGGUUGUAAAGCCCUUUUGUUGGGAAAGAAAUCCAGCUGGCUAAUACCCGGUUGGGAUGACGGUACCCAAAGAAUAAGCACCGGCUAACUUCGUGCCAGCAGCCGCGGUAAUACGAAGGGUGCAAGCGUUACUCGGAAUUACUGGGCGUAAAG
rnacentral:rRNA from 1 species